rnacentral:rRNA from 1 species
UUGUUAGAAUUUUAAUUUAUUUUUUAUUUAUAUAUUAUUAAUAGAAAUAACUUAUUUUUUAGUAUUUUUUAAAGAAGAGAUUUUUUUAAUUUAUAGUUUAUUUUACUGUAAAGGUUUAAUUAUAAUAAUUUAAAAGUAAAAUUAAUUUUUUGUACCUUUUGUAUCAGGGUUUAUUAAUUAUUAUUUAUUUAUUUAUAAAAUUCCCGAAUUUAAAAGAUUUAUUUAAUAUUUAAUUGUUUAGUUAUUGUUACAUAAUUAUUGAUAAAUUUUAAAUAGGUGUUAUAUGCUAUUCAUUUUUAAAUAUAUCUGGUUUCUUAAUAAUUGAAUUUAAUUCAGGAUUGAAAUAUUCAUUUGAUCAUUUUAUUUUUUAUGCUUAAUUUCAAUCUAAUAUUUAAGGGGAUAAGCUCUAUAAAUAUUUUUAUAACUAUUUAAUUUAUAUGGAUUACUGUAGGAUUAGAAAUUUCCAUCAUUUAUUUUGUUAUAAUUAUUUUUCAAGAAUUUUUAAUUUAUUGUUAGUUUAAUUUUUUAUUAAGAAUUAUUUAUUAAUAGUGAAUAUUUAGUUAUAAUGGUAAAAUUAGUAGAAUUUUAGUUAAUUAAUAUAUAGUAAUUCGGCAAAUUUAAAUUUCACCUGUUUAACAAAAACAUGUCUUAAUGAUAAAAUUUAUAUUAAGUCUAACCUGCUCCAUGAUUAUUUUAAAUUAAAUAGCCGCAGUAUUUUGACUGUGCGAAGGUAGCAUAAUCAUUUGUCUUUUAAUUGAAGGCUUGUAUGAAUGGUUGAAUGAAAUUUUAACUUUCUUUAUAUUAAUAUUUGAAUUUAAUUUUUAGGUUAAAAAGCUUAAAUAUUAAAGUGGGACGAGAAGACCCUAUAGAAUUUUAUUGUAUUAUUAUUAUUUAUAAUUUGGUAAAUUUUUAAAUUUACUAAUAAUACAAUUUUGUUGGGGUGACAGUAAGAUUUUCUAAACUCUUAUAUAAAUUUUUUUAUUUAUGAUUAUAUUAAAGAUCCUAUAUUAAGGAUAAAUAGAUUAAAUUACCUUAGGGAUAACAGCGUAAUUUCUUUGGAGAGUUCUUAUUGAUAAAGAAGUUUGCGACCUCGAUGUUGGAUUAAAAUUAGAUUUAAGUGCAGAAGCUUAAAUUUCUAGGUCUGUUCGACCUUUAAAUUUUUACAUGAUCUGAGUUCAGACCGGCGUGAGCCAGGUCGGUUUCUAUCUUCUAAUAUUUUAUAAAAUAGUACGAAAGGACCUUUUAUAACAAAUUGUUUUGUUUCAUUAAUGAAUUAUUUU